CCUACGGGAGGCAGCAGUGGGGAAUAUUGCACAAUGGGGGAAACCCUGAUGCAGCGACGCCGCGUGCGUGAAGAAGUAACUCGUUAUGUAAAGCUCUAUCAGCAGGGAAGAAAAUGACGGUACCUGAGUAAGAAGCCCCGGCUAACUACGUGCCAGCAGCCGCGGUAAUACGUAGGGGGCAAGCGUUAUCCGGAUUUACUGGGUGUAAAGGGAGCGUAGACGGCAGUGCAAGUCUGGAGUGAAAGGCGGGGGCUCAACCCCGGGACUGCUCUGGAAACUGGACGGCUGGAGUGCAGGAGAGGUAGGUGGAAUUCCUAGUGUAGCGGUGAAAUGCGUAGAUAUGAGGAGGAACACCGGUUGCGAAGGCAGCUUGCUGGACUGUAACUGACGCUGAGGCUCGAAAGCGUGGGUAGCGAACAGGAUUAGAUACCCCUGUAGUC
rnacentral:rRNA from 1 species